GCUGGGUGCAGUGGUGCAUGCCUGUAAUCCCAGUGGCUUGGGAGGCUGAGGCAGGAGGAUUGCGAGUUCAAAGCCAGCCUCAGCAAGAGCGAGAUGCUACAUAACUCAGAGAGUCCCUGUCUCUA
rnacentral:sRNA from 1 species